rnacentral:lncRNA from 1 species
CGAUUUUUAGCGAUUUCUCAUCAUGCGCUUAAAAGCAAAAAUGUACAAUUUGGUAUAAAUACAGAAUAAAGGUGGCAACAACAACAAACACGUGUUACCAACAUUAGUUAUGAAAGUCUUUGCUGUUGGAGUGAUAUGUCUCUGUCUGUAUGGUAAGUUUAAAUAUAUAAUAUUUAUUACUGUGAAUUCAUUUAAUUUCGUGAGUAUCAAUUUUCGUGGAUAUAUGAUUUCGUGGUUUUGCCAAUCUCUGUAUACAAAGCCUAUUGAAAAUAUGUUAUUCGUUGAAGAUUUGAAUUCGUGGUUCACCUGUAUUAAUGAAACCCACGAAAAUUUGUCAUCCAACGAAUAAUAAUGAAUCCAUAGUAAUUCAAUCCUGAUUGCACAGUUUAUAUAUAAACAAUGUAUAAAGGGACCAUUUUCCGAUAACUCAUCAUGGGAAAUAAUUCAGAUUUCUUUUGUUUGUUCAAUAUAAAAAAAAACCAAUUUAAAAUAUGUAAAUUGGGUUAUUUGCUUGUUUUUUAACAUUAAUUGUUCAUGCAAUACAGAGAAUAACCAAAACAAAUUUUAUGCACAAUUAAAAAUAAGCUUUUGUACAAAUCCCAACUUAUCCAAACUGAACCGAUAAACACUAUUUUAGUUAUCAAAGGUACCAGGAUUAUAAUUUAGUACGCCAGACGUGCGUUUCGUCUACAUAAGACUCAUCAGUGACUUACAGUGUCAAUGAAUUUCCCUUCACAGAUUGAUGCGUAUGUUUUGUUUAAUACGUUUUAAUGUCAAUUGAACAAUUUCAUUUUUUAAAUCAUACACAUUGUCUUUCAACUAUGUCACGUCGUUUUGGGUUUGCUUUGUUUUUAGUUUAUUUAGUGUAUAUAAAUAAACUUAUCAUAGAUACCAGGAGUAAAUUGUGUAUAUACGCCAGACGCGAGUUUCGUCUACAAAAGACUCAUCAGUGACGCUCGAUUCCAAAAAAGUUAAAAGGGCCGAAUAAAGUACGAAGUUGAAGAGCAUUGAGGACCAAAAUUCCUAAAAGUGUUGCUAAAUACAGCUAAUGUAUGUUUCCGUUAGUAUUAUCCACAAGUUUAUAUCAAGUGAUGUAUAACUUAUAGUGUCUAUACAAUUGCUGUAGUUCGGUUGCUCCAUACCUAACGUAAUACUAAAUAAUUGAUUACUUGUAGUUGAAAUGUAUUUUUUGUUCAUCUACAAACCCGAAAUUAAAAAGGUAUGAAACACUAUUGAAAGUGUGAUACGUUUAAAUAGGAGUCUUAUUACAUCUCUAAGUUAAACUACAACCAUUCUAUGAAUUCCCAGUGUAUAGAUAUGUAAUUGACAUAUUUUUGUUGCAUUUUACAGGCAUUGCACUUAGUUGUAUUCCAUGCAACCUGCACACUGAUGACUGCACCAAACCUUGUCAAUAUGUUGGUGACGAACCCCACUGUCACUAUUUCAAUAUGUUUUUAAAUUGCUGUUUUUGCGAAAUUCCGAUUGAAUGCCAUCCUACAAAUGCUACUAUAGCAUGUCCAGCUAACUGUUCAUGCGAACCUCAUGGAGAACACCAUCACUGUAUAUGUCCUCAAUAAAGGUAAAUAUUAGUCAUCUCUGUCAUGCGUAUACAAAAUAAUGUUAUUUUGGAUAAUUCGUAUUUGUUGUGAGUGCAGAAAAAAUAAUGAUCUUGCGAAAGGAUCAUGCGAGCACUACAUGACUUUCUUUUUUACAUUCUAAUUCAAUUUGAAGUUUUGUUUUAUUAAUAUAAUGUUUACAUUAAAUUUUGCUAAACAUUUAGCGGAAAGUGAUAUAAAUACAUUUAAAGUCUCAAUCACUUUCCUUUACUCAAAUUAAAAAAAUUACAUUUUAAAGUCACAGAUAUAUAUAAGUACCACAUUACAUGAGAAACUAUGGGAAGAAAAGACCCAAAGUAAUAAGCUUAUUCAUCUGAGGUUAACUCUCCAUAUAAAGUUGGAAUCUCAGUUUCGUAAUAAUUUCUGAAAUAAAAAUUUUAGGAAGGCAUGUUAUCGAUAAUGUCAGUACCGAUGCAAUGGCUAUAGAGCUGACGAUACCAUUAUAUAUAACAUUUGUCUGCCAGCGAAGGUAUGAACCUAAUGGUAUAAACCAAUCCAAUAGUAAUUUAAAUAAUAAGUGUAUUCUUCCAAAACUCAUUACUAUAUUUAGCGCACAAGGAUCCUUUAACCAAAUCAUAUAGUGAUAGCUAGGGAUGCAUAUACGAAAAUACAUGAACAUUAAAAAUACCAAAGUGGAUCUUUUGGUAAUAGACAAAUACAUCUUACAUUAUAUUUUCUAAGGAUAACGGAACCAGAAUGUUUCACAACUAAUAAAUUAAUCAAUUCAAAAAUGACAAAAGUUCAUGUCACUACUGAGCUGGUGAUAUUUUUUGGAUAAAUAGUCCACCAAAAUCGGUAAAGAAGAAGUCGAAUAAAACGUUAUACCUGUAUGCGUUUACGGUAAUUACGAGUAAGUAAACAUAUUGUAAGCAGCUGUCAAAUAUGCUUUGCAUUAAAUGAAUCUACAACUCUAAAUAGCUUAUAAAAAUGUUUAAACCCGCCGCAUUUUUGCGCCUGUCCUAAGUCGAGAGCCUCUGGUCUUUGUUUGUCUUAUAUGAUUUUUAAUUUAAUUUUGUUGUGUAUAAUUCGGAGUUUACUAUGACGUCCUUUAUCACUGAACCAGUAUAUAUAGUUUUUAAGGGUCAGCUAAAGCACGCCUCUGGGUGAGUGGGGUUUCUCGCUGCAUUGAGGCCUAUUGGUUACCUUCUACUGUUGUCUGUUCUAAAGUCGGGUCGUUGUCUCUUUGACAUAUUCCCCUUUUCAAUUCUCAAUUUUAUAUACCUUUAAAAUCUGUAUUGUGUUUGUGUUGCAUUUAUAAGCUUUUUAAAACCCAUUAUAACAAUGUCUUGCAAAAACAAAAUGACAGUUUUUUUACGUGUUUUAUUGGGUAAGUUUCGGAGUCGGCAAAGAUUUUUUAAUCUGAAAAAGGAAAAAGUUAUAUAUACACUUAUGGUAAUUUACUCAUCUUAGAUAGAUACCAUGAGUAAAAUUGUGUUCGCAAGAAAUUCUGCAUUGUGAUUCUGACUCAAUAAUUUAAAAAUAUUUUAUUGUUCAAAAUGAUAAAAGGAUCAGACACUAAGUUUUAAAACUUAGUAACGUCUUCUCCGAACCAAUACAAAAUAUACACAUUAAUUAACGAACACAUUAAAUAUUUCAUACUAACAAAUAAUUUAAGAAUAAAAACAUGAAAACUUCUGAUGAAUACUCCAAAAUUGGCCGAAUAAAAGUCAUAUAAUUUUUUUCCAAAUAUUCCCCGACUCAAUGCUCUAUAGAACAACUAAAAACUAUUUAUCUGAUAGAAAAUUUGCUGAGAAAUAAAACCAAUAUAGUCUUUCAUUUGAAUAUACGCGUUUUACAAUAUUUUGUUCCAAGGAGUCGUAAAUAGUCACAAGUAACGAAAAAGUAAUAUAACAGUUGUGACAAUACAUUUGAUAUAGUUCUUUUUCAACGUAUCAAAGGCAUUGUAUGAACCUAUUGAUUUAAUAGUUGUAUUGUUUUUGUGUAUUAUUUCUAGAUGAUAUAAAAAGCUUAACUGGAAGUAAGAAUAAUGCAGCAUUUAUUCCAGACCAACAUCAAUCCAAUCUACUUCGUUUGGUGAAAAUUUAAAUGUUUAUUAAAACAUUUGUGUUAUAUGUAUGACCAUUUCCAAAUGUUGAUAUAUUUCGAAAGCAAUUAAUUGUUAAUCAAGUUGUUCAAAAUACUUCUUAAAUUAUUUUAAUUUAAGG